CAGAUAAACAUCAGAAACACAAGAGGUUCACAGGAACAAACACUGGACACUUCAUCAGGACAGAGGACAAAGAGUUGCUGGUUGAAUUCUGUUCAAACCCCUUCAACCUUUAGCAGCUGCUGGUGUCAGCUACUGGUCUGCAGCGCCCUCUGCUGACGUCACUGUGCUCAGUAGAAACAACAUAACCACACAUCUCAGUAAAAGACCUUCUGACAGAAUAAACAGGUACCUGUGAAACACAACACAACACAAUCAGAGCCGAACUCUGAGACGGCGACGACUUUCCAGUCCCACUUCUGUGAUCUUCAGGUGUCCACUGUCCCGGGUUUAUAAGGUCAUCAGAGAGAACCUGACAGUAUGAAUCACCUGUUACAUCACAGUACAUUUAUUCUGCAGGUGAUUUUGACCAAAGCAACGUAGAAGAAUCAUAUUCAGACUCAACACCAGCACAAUGUCACAGAGGUCAUCAGUAACUGGGGGUGAAAUCCUCCCAAAUGAACGACUAACAGCCAGUAAACUAAAUCACAACUGCUGCAGACGGACGUUGGGCCAGAAUGAUGAAGAGUCUUGACUGAGACGAAGAGCGCAACGUCCCGAAGACCCAGAAGCUCCAGAAUCCAGCAUGAGUUACUGUCUGAUCUGACCUUUACCUGACAGUUUGCUUCAGAACCAGUUCACUCUGUGACUAUCCAGACUCACCUGAGCUCUGGGCCUCACGCAGGAACGUUUUCAGACUUUUAUCUUAAACUUCUCUUGAUUUUCUUGGUCAUUUUGCUCGUAUGAGAGUUUUAACUUUCUUAACUGGACGACUUUGUCAUGAACCUCCUCAUCCUGAAGAGGUGCUCAGUCCUCAGAUUUCAUCAUUAGUAUAAUUGGUGACGUCACAAAGUGACGUCACCUCUGACUCUGACAGUGACGGAUGAUGAAUCUUGUCCAGCUGCUGCUGAGAAGUGAAAUAAGAGAAUCAUCUGAUGUUAGACUGAAGCUGUUUCAGUUCAUGUGAGGAGGAUUUCAGAUUCAAUAAAAGUUUGUUAAUGUUUCUCAUCUUUGGUUGAAGGAGUUGAUUAAACUAACCAUGUUAAACACACACUGUACUCCACUGCUCAUACAUGAAGGUCAGUUCUAAUAAAGUUAAGCUUUGUUCUGAUCCUGUCUUUUCCAUAUGAACAUGUCUCCUUACCUGU